CGAAUGCUGACAUAAGUAACGAUAAAGCGGGUGAAAAGCCCGCUCGCCGGAAGACCAAGGGUUCCUGUCCAACGUUAAUCGGGGCAGGGUGAGUCGACCCCUAAGGCGAGGCCGAAAGGCGUAGUCGAUGGGAAACAGGUUAAUAUUCCUGUACUUGGUGUUACUGCGAAGGGGGGACGGAGAAGGCUAUGUUGGCCGGGCGACGGUUGUCCCGGUUUAAGCGUGUAGGCUGGUUUUCCAGGCAAAUCCGGAAAAUCAAGGCUGAGGCGUGAUGACGAGGCACUACGGUGCUGAAGCAACAAAUGCCCUGCUUCCAGGAAAAGCCUCUAAGCAUCAGGUAACAUCAAAUCGUACCCCAAACCGACACAGGUGGUCAGGUAGAGAAUACCAAGGCGCUUGAGAGAACUCG
rnacentral:rRNA from 2 species